AUGGCGCUAUCUGAUCUCAAGUUCGAGCCAGGGAAAGCUUUUGAAGAAUACAUCAAGAAGCAGUGCGGUGUUUCAAUUAAUUGUUCUACAAAUCAUGGCUCUGGUAAAUUCUUUCUGGUGGUGAAUUUCAAUAGCUCUAAGCUCCGUCUGAAUCUAGACUCUGUUGGUCUAAUUCUUCAAGCUUGCUUCGGUGGAGAGGCCAAGCGCUUCUGCGUGUCUCAUUUGAAAGAUUGGUCCUUUAAGUUCCGUGUUUCCACACCUGAGGUGGGCUUUGAGAUUAUUAGGGGGGCAGGGGUUUCUAAUUCUCGUUGGACUUAUGCUCAAGCAGUUCAAGAACCGAGAUUCUUUUCUCCUCGAGAUCAUCCUGCCCAGUUUUUUCAAAAUUCAGUUUCAGUUUUGGAUCGCCUAGCAGGAUCAGAGCAUGGUGUUAAUUUGGUCUUAACUGCUCCCAACAAUGUCGCCCUUGGGAGGGCGGGAUCAGGGCGUUCUCAAAUUUUAAUCGGGUCUGGUAACUCGGAUCUCUCGGCCCAGCCCAAGUCAAAUUUCUUCUGUGUGAGGUGCCUCAUGUCGGGCCAUGUCAGAUCCAGUUGUACAAACAAAAUAAAGUGCAAAGCCUACAAACAUUGGGGACAUAUCGCAAUCAACUGUAGAUUCAUGGGCGAAGCUGACAGUCCGCCUUCCCAAUCUGUCAGGAUCAAUCAACCCUUUUUGGAAACCAGCCGUAAUGAGCGUGAGGUGGGUUGGUCGGGUCCACUUGUCAGAGACACAAUCGUUUCGUAUUCCUAUAAUUGGGAAUCUCCUGGUCUUUUGUCGAUUACUUCUCGGGACGGUGCUGCUAUUCACCCCCGCAGUCCACCUUCAUCUCGCUCUCCCCACAUUGAAAGGAUUUCACCUUUGCUCCACCUCUCUCAUCAGUCUCCGCCGAGGCCACUAUCAGUGAUGGCAACUUUCCCCUUUGAUCCAACACCGUUCUUGUUGCUGGGAACCAUGCCAUUGAAGUGGAAGGUAGACCUGCUAGGGCGCGAGUCAUUCAUGGUCCAAUGCCUGCAGCUAAUGAAAAUCUCGCCAUUGCCACGUUGGUACCUAUGCCCCAAGGUGAAGUGGCCUUUGCUAAUGUCCGAGAGGUUUUAUCAGAUUUUCUUGUUUCUCAGAGGGUUUUCCAGCUGA
rnacentral:rRNA from 1 species